rnacentral:lncRNA from 1 species
CUUUAUCUUGUAGUCUUCUCUAACAACAUUCGUCUCAUCCAAAUUCGGUGGUACAAAUUAUUAAAUUUCCAAGAUUCAGUUUUCCUUCCAAUGGAUUCCUCAGUCAAUGUUAGAUAUUGAGUUAAAAUUUGGGAGUUCUUCGGUAAAUUUCUUUACUUUCUAUCUCGAAAUUUAGGAAUUAAGUGCUGAAAUGUGUUGCACCUUAUUAAUUGACAGCUGUGUGUUUUCGAUAAUGAUACAUUUUCUAUAUUCUUGGCAUUCUUAAGUCAUUCAUAAAGAUAGAUGUCAAGAUAUUGAAAUAGCUUCUCUGGUAGUCAUGAUUUAUGUGUUUAUCCUUUUUGAACGUCUAUAAGGAUUGACAUAUUUCUGCUUGCUUGAGAUGUCUAUAACUCUCUAAUGUUUAAAAUAUAAUCUUGUAGUGGUAGUAGCGGCCGCAAUUAUUGUCGAAGAGGUACUCUCCCAGGUAUUCUAAAUCUCUUUGGUAUUCUCUAACUCUGCUUUUUCGUAGGUCUGGUUACUGCUUUCAACCUAAGAGAAGGCACUACUUGAGGUGUGCUAAGUUUUCUAAUACUCAUUCCACAUGAGUGUGAGUAAUUGAAAUUUCGUAGUGAUUUAAAAAUAAACUUAGCUUGCUUUAGAUUUGUAAAUCCUCUUUUUAGGAAUUACAAAUUCUGAUUUGUGAGUAAUCUUAGAUAUCCUAAUUCAUUUCCUUGAAGAAUAUGUGUGUUUGACUAGGAUAUUGAUCCGAUAGCUAAACAUAUCAAGCUGAGAAGAAAAUAAGAAGCUUUACCAUUUUCGUGUUGUGACGGGAUAAAACUCAAACAUCAAAAUCCUAUCCAGUUUAAUUUAUCAACAGUGUGAGCUGUGUGAAAAAUAGCUUUGAAUAUUGAGAAUAAGAUUGUCCAAAAGUAUUGUAUUUUAAAGUGAUACCUGCUUCAUUGAGAUCUUAUCUAAGUGAAUCUCACUCAAUCCUUUUACAUGUAGUUUUAGAGAAGAAUGUUGUUUAGUUCUGUCUGUGUAAAUGAAUAUUAGCUACAUCUUGAGACCAAUUUGAUGGUAAUCAUUUUAAUCAUAAAAAAAUACUAGCAAAAUGGGAAUGAAGAAGGAACUUAUAAAGAUGUAAAUGUUCAUUCUCCAAAGCCUCACUCUGAUAAAACAGAUAGAUAGAUUUCUGGUGAGUCAAAAAUGGUGGUGGGGAUUGGUGUUGGGCAAUUACAAGUUAUUCAUAAAUUAUUGUAGUUUUGCUCCUUGUGAAUAUGUAGUGGUCAAAUAUGAUGAUAACCUUCUCAUUAAGUACCCCUAAUAUUUUAGCUUAAAUUUUAUCUUUGAAAAUAUGAUUAUGAAAUCUGAUAUGUUACAUAGAGUAAUAUAAAUCUUUCCCUGUUUACACAACUCAAAGACCGCUGUGACUUUCGUUGCCUUUCUUAAAAAAGGCUAAGGCAGUGUGACUUUAGACAAAAAAGCAGCAAUUCAGGAUGAAAUAUGAUACAUUUGGUUCCAGCAAGAAGGGGUUAACCAGGUUUUUCAUUAUGACGAAGGGUAAGCUACUCAAUCCAUAAUCUUUAAGUGCAAGUUUCCUCAUAACAGGGAAUCGAUACAUCAUGCUGCAUAAAAAGAUGAGAAAUCAAUUUAUCAAGCUAAAAUCAAGUACCUAUAUUAAUCAUUUACAUAUGAGUAACAAUCUAGCGUGAAGAAUAACUGUGUAUUCUGCAUAAAACAAAACAAUUUUGGAGUGAACAAAAUAACAUGUUCAAGGAUUGACAGAAGCAAUUGCAAGAGCCAAAAGGUUAUUAUCCAUUUUUGUGAUACUCUUGAAUAUUUUUCAGAAACCAAAAGGUUAUAUUGCUAGCUGCUCUCUCCCCCUCCGUGCUUUGAUCAUACUGUUAAUAUUUCGUUGUAGUUUUAUACAUGUAUGUUAGAAUCUUUUUCUUCCUGCCAGCUGUAGUUAAAGAAGAAGGCACUGAUAAGGAGAUGAUGGGGAUGAUAACCUAUGAAAUUUAUUCCAUGAUAAAAACAAAUCGAAGAGCUAGAGGAGAAGUUUAAGGUUAUUCAAAUUCUACCUCUAAUCAUACUCAGUUUUCUUGUUUUGGUAGUUAUAUUGUUCUUCUAUUUGAUAUCUUCUAAGACAUUUUUAUGUCGAUAUGAAUGGUAGGUAUUUCCACUUCUAAAAGACCCUCUCGAUUCAAGAAAUAUAAUCUUGAAGAUAUAUAGUGGUAACUUCGUUCUGUAUCUUAGUUUCAGAUUCAUCAACUGUAAAUAACAAUUACUGAUAUGUUGCCAUAUUGGCUUCAUCAGAUCUGUGAUCCAGAUGAUAAGAAGGUGCAAUUUGUUUAAGGAACUAUAACUAAAGGAGUAGAUGCAAAGAAUUCAUGAAGGUUUUUUUGAAUAUUGAGAAGUAACCAAUACUAGCUAAGGGGUUGGAGAGUUCUGAUUGAUGGUGUAUGCACUUUCUGAACACAAGAUAAAGUUAUAGGUGUUUUUAUGAUUAAGUUCUUGAUAAUUAGUAGCGUUAAAAUAUAGAAAUUAAAGGGUUAAAUGGUACAUGAAAUACUUGUGGCGCAUACACUGUUAGUUCUAAAUUCAUUCGCUCCUAAUUAUUGAGUUAGUCUAUGUUUUAAACUUUGCUAUAAGUACAGGAGUUCAAUUUUUUUGCUCUUACUCAGCAUGACUAACUCAAUAAACAUCAAUUGUGUUUUAUACUUCUAUUAGAAGUCAAAAUUUAAUGAAAAAGUGCUUUUAGAAGUUGUGAAAGUUUUUAUACGCUUGUUAUAGUGUUCUUUCCCAAAUGUUAAUAGUAUGUUCGACUAUCUAUUAGAGUAUUUAUUUUGCUUGUUUAUGAACAAUUGGCAGGAAAAAGUGACAACUUUUUUAUUUCAUGUAAAGAUCAUUCAUUUAAAUCUUCAAGAUGAGCACCAGUAAUUGAAAAACAAAAAAAAUGAGUGAUCAAGUAAGGUUUUUAGAAAACAAUAAACCAAUAUAGACUAGGUUGCUUGAUGAAGAUAGGCUAUGAAGCUCGGGCCUCAGGAUGAAUUCUUCUUGGCUCAUUAUUGAAUUCAAGACCAGCGUAUUAAUUUAGACUUACAGUGGAGGGAACUAUCCAUGAAUUGCCUCUAUUUGGUUACAAACUCAAAAGUAGAUAGACUAUAGUAGGUUCAUCAUUGUGUUAAUUAGGUUGCUGCCAAAGGUUCUUAUGACUUGCUUGAACGCAAUAAUCCUUACUGUUAAUUGGUCGCGCUGAUAGGUUCUAUUGUAGUCUGUAACUCUAGAUUAGUUCCCCAAAAUUGCAGGUACAUAAUUGGAUCUUUUAGAGCACCAAAUAUUUUCUGUUAGGUCUCUUUUUCUUUUGCCCUUUUAUUUCGUGACAAGAGGGAGGAAGAAGAUGUCCUAUUACGUUGGUUGAUUAUCUUUUUCUGUUGAGCUUCUUACUGUCACUAUGAGUUUGCUUCAUGUUGCUCCGAAAAAUAGGAAAUUGAAGAUGACAACUUUUACUUUGGUCUUCCCUUCCCUCUCAAUUAUGCUUUGUCAGUUCAUCUUAGCACAUAAUGUAAGGACUUCUGGAUGGUGCAAGACAU